CUGUAUAUUAAAACACUGCAGCUUUAUUUUUGCCAAGAUUAUGAAAUAAUCAAUUAUCAAAUAGUUGUUCGUGAGCAGUCUCUUCUGCCUCUCUGUUUUUUUCCUUUUCUGUGUUUGCCUUUUUCUUUACGUUUUCUUCACUCCUCAGCCAUCAGCCUCGUUCUGUUCACGUUUCUGUUCGAGUUUUUGGCAUGUGAGUUCUACCGACAUGUGUUGCCGUCGAUGAACCUCCGUCAUUCCUGUGGGUUUCGGUGGAAUCUUAGAGUUAGUUAUUAGGUUGGGCCUACAAGCAUGGGAAAGAGGCUGCACAAUUUCUCCUUAAUUUUUAAGGCAAUGGGUGUCUGACUCUUCGAAAUGUUUUUGGGUACAUAUCCUCGUUCUUGUACAUUCUGACUAAACAUUGCUCAUCUUGAAAGUUUAUGGUACCUUUUAUUAUAGACCUCUUCUUGUGGAUUCUACUCUAUGAAUUGACAACUAUGCAACAGGACAUGUUAAGACUAACUAAUUAGCAUGGAUGUUCCAUCACUGGUGGUUAAUAGGUAGUAUGUAUCAGUUCUCUUUUUCUCUCUUGCUAUUUUUUGUCUCAUUUGAUGAGAAACCAACAGGAUAUGGACUCGCAAAAGAAGAAUUACUCUAUCAAAGCAUUGGUUUUUCUUGAACUUGAUUUAGAAAUGGUGACUAAUGUUGAACUAUUCAAUCCGUAUUCUCGUUGUGUUCCUCAAUUUCAUAACAAAUAAUACUCUUUUAUUUAUCAAUCUUAAUUGCAAAGUUGACCUACCGAAAGUGAAAUAAGAAUAGAAUAGUAGUUUUAUAUUCAGUUAAAACAAAAUUGCAUAUUAAUUACAUGAAAAUGAUAAUAAUAAAGUGCAAGAUAUGACAAAAUUGACAUUUCCUUUUAUAGGUUAUUUUGUGAAAUAUUUUAAUUGGCUGUUGGUUUCAAUUAGUAGGCAAUUCAUCCAAAUUGUUGUCUAAUUUGUUGAAUAAUUAAAGUUUAAGAAGUCAAAGAAAAUAGGCAGAUUUGAUUCUGUGCUAGAACCAAUUGGUAGAAAAAGAGGCACCAUGGAGAAAAGAGGACUAUGUGAGAUGAAUACUUAUUUUUACUAUAUAUGUGUGGGAGAAUCAAAUAUUUAAUCUUGGAGUCGAUAGUACAAGUUUGAGCUAUACUUAUUUUGACAGAAAAAAAAAAACAUGAUAGGUCUUUCAAGAAUCUUGCUAUUACUACAAGAAAUUUGACUUUAGAUGUCGGUUGAAAAAUAUAAACACGGAUGUACAAUGUCGGUUGCACAAAAAAAUGAACUUUAAUGUCAGUUUUAAACCGACAUUAUAGGUAUAUUUUAAUAAGACUACAAUGUCAGUUUAAAACCGACAUUGUAAAUAAACCCUUUUAAAACCUUCCCUUUUUUCAAAAUAAAAUUAAAUAGAAAAAAGUUUAAAACACCAAAUUUCGUUCCCUCCUUCCCCUCAUUUUCAUUUCCUGCCAAUCCUCUACUAAAAAGAAAAAAGAAAAUAAAAGACCCAGAACCCUAAAAGUGUAACGUCCAACCUUUAUCUCUCUCUCUAUAUAUUUCUUAGCCAUCUGCAGGAACCUCAACCGAUAGCCUCCAUCGCCUCUAUCGUCAUCUUGCCACUCCAAUCCACACCGUUGAUCAGAAAGAUCUAGCCACCGAUGCCGUAUGCAGGUCACUUUUGGAUAGCCAGAUAUGUGCAUGCAUCCUAGUCGCGCUUUUGCCCAGCCAUCAGCCUUUUUCCGUUCACGUUUCUGGCAUGCGAGUUCUAUCGUCGUGCGCUGCCACGACGAACCUCCAUCAUUCCUGUGGGUUUCACCGAAAUCUUGGAGUUAGGUAAGGAUUGAGCUCAAGUUCACUUAUUUUACGUUUUGUUUUCAUCGUACCAACGAAUGCUCUACUUAGAAAAAAAAAAAAAAAAGUGAAUUGAUUUCACAGCUUCUCUUUGCCCCCUAUGACGUCUAGUCAUAUUCUACUAAGGCUUUUAUUUACGAGGUUCUGAAUACUUCAUUUUUGACUUAAUGGAUGCACUAAUGGAUGAGGGGUAGCGUGGGCAAUUCCUAAAUAUUGAGAGAACGUUGAUAAAACCGAGCUUGGAUGGAACUGAACAAGGCAAACAAAUACAAAAGUCAAAGGCUUUAUUAUUGAGAAAGUCAAAGGAGGUUAUUUAGUAGCCAUCGCGGGUUUCAUUACUUUUCUUCCAUUCCGUCCUCUCAUAAGUCAAAGGAUAUCGAAUGAUCGAUUCACCAUUGAGAGCAUUAACCCCAAAAGAACAAAUAUUGUGGUGUUCUAAGAGUGGCAAAUCAAACAAGAACUUGAUGAGCGAAAUCCGCUGACGAAAAAAAAAGAGCUUCUUUUUAAUGCUUCGCUUCUCUCCCUAUCGGUCAACCUCUAUUAAGUUCUUAUUCAAGGGAUUUUAGUCUAAGGCUAACUAUUGGGAAUCAUAUCAAAUGGAGCAAAGCCAUACCUAACUGACUUAGGAUGCAACUUUGUCUUAGCCUUCUACACGAGCCAACAAGUCGCUUCUUUCGGUUAGAAAGCGCUAGCGGCCUUACUUAGCUUAGGAAAGAUACCAUUUCUCUUGUUUAGCCAAGAAUUUAAAUUACUCAAGCUAAAUCCGCGGGUAGUCUUUCCUUAGCUACGCUAGAAGGGAUAAGUCUUUUCUGUUAGAAAAAUCCUGUGAGAAAACCAUUUCAAGCUCUCUUUCUUGUAUUCAUAAUAGUCUUAAGUCAAAGUGAAAUCGGCCAGUCAGUAACUCUUUUUAGCCAGUACGUUCUAUUUCAGCUCGAUCAAUGGCACUAGGAGGCUCGAGAGCCCUCUGUUCUCUAGUUGAAAGCGUAACUGUGAAAUAGAAAGUCUUCGUUUAGCUUAGCGAGAGAUGCAAGAAAGGUUUGUGACAGUGCCACUAGAUAACUACGCUAGGGCUUGAACAGACAAAGCACAUUCGACGAUUUGAUGCCAAAGGGCGCGCAGCGGCAAGGCAAUCUGUCUUCACUCAAAGUUGAUCCUGCAGCAUCUGUAGUAUGCUACAAAGAAGCAUGAAAGAGCUAUGCGCAAUCAACAGAAAAAGACCAAGCCAAGACUUUCACAAUGAAAAAACUUCCCGAAGGUAAGCCAUAAAAAACGACGGGCUAAGCAGGCAUUCACUCCUCCCUAUGCCGAACUGCCAACUUUCUAUGCCUGACUUUCCAUUGACUCCUACUAAUUACCGCUCCAUGGGAAAAUCUUAAUCUCCAAUCAACGAAUAAGAAAUAGGAAGCCUCUGGCCGAUUAGCAGCUAGGCGAACGGGCGAGUGGCCUUGAGCUAGUCUUUUAUUCUCCCGAAGGAACUCCAUUUUUGCAACUUGGACAACUGCUCUUUCUCUGACCCUUUCUUCUGUUUAAGGAAUUACUGAUUGUAUAAUAGCGGCAGGGAUGAGAGAGAAGAUGGCACAAAAGAUCAAACUGGGGCUGCACAACCUUUUUAAUCAGUAAAGGGGGCACUAAAUCAGCAUAGAAGAAGACACUUGAUGAAUUUAGCAUAAAUAUCUUUCAAAAUAGAAUAUUUGUGUCAAAAGGUAGCAACUACUAUCAGGUUCAAGCCUUAAAAUGCUCUCUCUUUCUAAGAACUAAAGUAAAGGCAUGCCUGAUCCCAAUGCAAUGGCCGUUUCCUCAUCCUCAUAAAGGCACUUCUUUCUUUUCUAUUCAUUUCAUUGUGUGGCUACAAUCCUUUCAUUCUGUUGGGGAAGCGAUUCAGUAUGAAGAACUUAGCGCAUGACUAAUUCCAUUUCAACCACUUCCACUGCGGAAUACGACUUCGGCAAAUGAGAAAACUAGCACCAACGACCUACAACGCAACUGGAAAUGCGUCACGCCUCGCCCACGGAGAUUACUACUCUGGACUGGAUAGACCACCAUGGGAUAGACCUCUUGAGGAUGAGGAUAGAUACAGAUCCAAGCCGGAGAGCAUUAUAAUGAAUAAGGACCUAUUACAUCAAUUCCUUUUAACGGUAGGCAGGCCAAUAAACCGCUCUGCUUGUCGGAGAUAAGGUCAGUACGGAGGAGCUAUGCCUAGGACAUGCUGUCGAGAAGAUGGAUAAACACAUCUACAAAGAAUGGGGUUGCCAUCCCGUCCUUCUAAUGUCCCUCGCGGUUGGAGUUGGCACUCUCCUCACUACUUUAUUUUAUUAUAAAGGCAAAAGGAUUGAAGAGAGAUGCUCACUAAUCCACAAUUAGUAACAAGGGAAUCUCCAUUACCAAUCGAGAAGAAUUAAGGAUCACGCUCUAAUAGCUCCGAAUAAAUGAAAUCUAUCAUGCCUUUCCAUUGCCUUUCAAGUGUCUGCCUUGGAUUGUUUCGUGGCGUGCCUAUUCUCUUUGUCCACAGGGUACCUUUGUUUCCACGAUGGCAUCUAGAACAUUCCAACAAACAGACUUCUUGAUCUUUGAAAGGAGGGUGCAUUCUGCCAUUUUCUCCCUUUCUUUUCUGUACAAGGGAUCCCCCUCCCGCUAGUUGGUUGGUUGGACUC